AUGUCACAUUACCAUCCUGCAACUUCCAAUCAUGGUCACAAUGAUGUAAAAGCAAAACAAAUAAAAGAUGUCAAUACCAUUGCAAAGCCUCUCUUUGGAUUGACUACUGGACACAAGGCUCCACGCUGGAAAAAGAAGCGAAGCUCACCUGUCAGGAAGUUGAUGGCUGCCGACUGGACAACAGAAUGCAGACAGGCCUUAUUCCAGCUAAAGCAAGCCUUACUGGACCAGGUUUUGUUGGCCCACCCCAACUUUGAAAUACCCUUUCUACUCUCGGUGGAUGCAUCCAGCAAUGGCUUAGGUGCUGUGCUAUCUCAGGUGCAGGAACCGGGAGCUACAGCGAGACCUAUAGCCUUCGCGAGCAAGUCCCUCAGUUAUGCACAGUCGAGGUAUCCUGCGCACAGGCUCGAGUUCUUUGCCAUGAAAUGGGCUAUCUGUGACAAGUUCCACCACUGGCUAUGGGGACAGCAGUUCAUGGUAUGGACGGAUAAUAAUCCCUUGACAUACAUUCUGACCAAAGCAAAGCUUGAUGCUUGUGAACAGAGAUGGGUCGCCAAGCUGGCACCGUACGAGUUUGACAUCAAGUACAUCCCUGGAAAAAUAAAUGUCGUUGCAGAUGCUUUGAGCAGAGAGCCCUUCGUACGACCCAGUGCACUCCAUCGCCUGACAAGGGUCCCGUACGAGACCUUACUAGCUGAAGCCGACGCUGUGUGCACAGACAGAGUGCAAGAUGUGUUUCGCUGGUCCAGCCACCCCUUUGACAAAGCCUCUGACUCCAACGAAGUGGUCAUUAGCUGUCAGGCUACUGUUGACCCCCCAUCUGGUGCUUUAUCAAGACAUGAAGUUGCAGCUGUUCUUCAGUCACACAGGUGCUGGGUGGGUGAAGUGGGCUCACAUGCACUGCUGUUGCCACAGCUCCCACAGGCUGUUAUGCCAUCAGAGCAGACCGAUGUCAAUGUUCUGCCACACGACCUACUGAUGAGUAAGCAGCGUGAUGACAACGUGAUCAGCAAAGUCGUCUUCUUUGUGGAGAGGGGGAGAAGACCAUCCCGGAGAGAGCGUGCCCAUGAGAGUGUUGAGGUUUUGUGUCUUCUCAGAAGUUGGGACAAGUUGACCAUGAAGAUGGGUGUACUGUAUCGUGUUUCGAAGAAUGUGGUUACAAAGAGGAAAAUGUAUCUGUAUGUGGUUCCAGCCUCCAUGAAAGCAAUGGUGUUGAAGGGUGUCCAUGAUGAAGCUGGCCACCAGGGCCAAUAG
rnacentral:lncRNA from 1 species